rnacentral:tRNA from 1 species
GGAGAGGUGGCAGAGUGGUCGAAUGCGCUCGCUUGGAAAGCGUGUGUAGGGCAACCUACCGAGGGUUCGAAUCCCUCCCUCUCCG